rnacentral:rRNA from 1 species
CGGACUCUUCGGAGUUAGUGGCGCACGGGUGAGGAACACGUGGGAACAUACCCUUUGGUAGGGAAUAAUGUCUGGAAACGGACACUAAUACCCUAUAAUGACUUCGGUCCAAAGAUUUAUCGCCAAAGGAUUGGCCCGCGCAUGAUUAGAUAGUUGGUGAGGUAAUGGCUCACCAAGUCUACGAUCAUUAGCUGGUCUGAGAGGAUGAUCAGCCACACUGGAACUGAGACACGGUCCAGACUCCUACGGGAGGCAGCAGUGAGGAAUAUUGGACAAUGGGGGCAACCCUGAUCCAGCCAUGCCGCGUGAGUGAAGAAGGCCUUAGGGUUGUAAAGCUCUUUCAAUAGUGAAGAUAAUGACGGUAGCUAUAGAAGAAGCUCCGGCUAAAUUCGUGCCAGCAGCCGCGGUAAUACGAAUGGAGCAAGCGUUGUUCGGAAUCACUGGGCUUAAAGCGUGCGCAGGCGGACUUGAAAGUCGGGAGUGAAAUCCCAGGGCUCAACCCUGGAACUGCUUCCGAAACUCCAAGUCUAGAAUCCGAUAGAGGUUAGGGGAAUUCCUAGUGUAGAGGUGAAAUUCGCAGAUAUUAGGAGGAACACCAGUGGCGUAGGCGCCU